rnacentral:lncRNA from 1 species
CACCCGCUCUGGGCGAGGGCGCCCGCAAACUGGAGCCCUAGCGCCACCUUCUGGAAAUCCAGACACAGCUUUCCAGGAGGCAGCCUGGUGGGUUGUCAGAACAGAGAGACAGAAAAGCUAAGAGUUCUCCCACAAGACGGAGCAAGAAAAGUGGAGUAGGUACACCGCCAUCGUUAAAAGAAUACCCCAGCUGAAGGUAACCAGCAAAGAUUGAAGAUGUCUGCUACUUCAAAUGAGAGAGCGCCAAUGGAAAACUACAAAAAAAAGCAUGAAACGUUAAAGAAACACGCCAUCACAAAAAGAAUAUAACCUGUUUCCAAUAAGCUACAACAUGGAUGAACCUGUGGACAUUUUACUAGGUGAAACAAGCCUGAUAGAAAAUGAAAUAUAUUGAAUGACUCCCCUGAAGUACCUAACAAUGGUCAGAGCGAUAGAGACAGGAAGUAGAGUGGUGAUGGCCAACAACUGUGGAGGAGAAAGGGGGAAUUUUUGUUGAAUGUGUACAGUUUUGGUUUGCAAGAUGAAAAAAAGUUCUGGAGUUUGGUUGCCCAAAAUGUGAAUGUUCUUAACACUUCUGAAUUGGACACUUAAAAUGGUUAAAAUGCUAAAUUAUACAUUAGGUGUAAUUUACUAUAAUAAACACCAUCUCGGAACCACCCCCUGCGGGUAACCGCAGAAGAGUCAAGGGCUGAUAACAACACUGCAGGUGUUUCCCAGCCCACCCCCACCCCAACAACCCAGGGGUGAGGACCGUCUUCUGCGCUCAGGACUCCCGGCUUGGGUUCUUGGAGAUGUCCCAGCUCCAGCCCCGCACGGCUUAACCUCAGCCUCCCUGACUGACCCAGUGCUCCAGGCUCUGCUCCAAGGAUCCACAGAUCGUACCCUCCUCAGCUGUGUCUAGGAUGCUGCAUCCGUAUGUUCACCAGUUUGUUCAGAAGCUGGUCACGGGCGGCCGCUGGAGCCCAUAGAGAAGUCUGACAGUCCCAUGGCUCAUCAGAACACUCCACAUUUUCAAUACGGGAUCCGACACAGCUUGGAGAACAAUGGGAGGGCUGGUGCCUUAUGGACGGUGCCAAUAAAUAAUUUCUCUGAGAGAUAAGGACUGAUACA